AUGACCAUGGUAUAAAAACAAGUUUCUGAUAUGCCCUUACGUUGGAAUUGAAGUAAGGUCAAGUGAAGAAGUUGGCUUAGGAAUGUUUGCAGUCCUGCUUAUGGAAUUUGAUGGGUCACGCUUACAUUUCUUAAGCCUGAUUCAAGACCGAUGACUUAAUUUUUUUUGCGAUAGCCAUCCCAACUUAUUUACUUUUACCCCAUUCAAUUCCAAUGAAGAUCCGACAUGCGCACCUUUAGAGUGUUUUACAUGGAUGAAAUGUGCAUACGGAUUUCAAGUAGAUAAUCUCGGUUGCCCCAUUUGUUCCUGUAAAGGUCCAUGCUCCCAAACGCCUUGCCUUCCAACUGAUUAUUGCUUCGUACAGAGAUCCAAUGUGUUAAGUCAACCCUCUGUUGAAACAUGUAAACCAUAUUGUCCUGUAAACAGUUUCCCAUUGAAGCAAGAACAUGACUUGCCAAUACAGUGUGUGACGAAUGUAUGCCCAGAAGGAUUUUGCCACAAUGUGCCAGACCUGCACUCAUCAUACUGCUGUAAAUACGUGUAAUAAAUAGCCCUGUCUGGUAAUAUUAGGUGAAGAUUUGGGUUAUAAUAGUUUUUAAAUUAUGUAAUUGAUGUCUUACCUGUGUCUACCUGCAAAUAAUAUAGUACUGUAUCUUAACCUUCAUUAAUUUGAAGAGUCAAAGGGUUAUUGUUUUGAUAUUG